UACAGAGGGUGCAAGCGUUAAUCGGAAUUACUGGGCGUAAAGCGUGCGUAGACGGUUACAUAAGUCGGGUGUGAAAGCCCCCGGGCUCAACCUGGGAAUUGCAUUCGAGACUGCGUAGCUAGGGUGCGGAAGAGGGAAGCGGAAUUUCCGGUGUAGCGGUGAAAUGCGUAGAUAUCGGAAGGAACACCAGUGGCGAAAGCGGCUUCCUGGUCCAGCACCGACGUUCAGGCACGAAAGCGUGGGGAGCAAACAGG
rnacentral:rRNA from 1 species